rnacentral:rRNA from 1 species
UACGUAGGGUGCAAGCGUUUAAUCGGAAUUACUGGGCGUAAAGCGUGCGCAGGCGGUGAUGUAAGACCGAUGUGAAAUCCCCGGGCUUAACCUGGGAACUGCAUUGGUGACUGCAUCGCUAGAGUAUGGCAGAGGGGGUGGAAUUCCACGUGUAGCAGUGAAAUGCGUAGAGAUGUGGAGGAACACCGAUGGCGAAGGCAGCCCCCUGGGCCAAUACUGACGCUCAUGCACGAAAGCGUGGGGAGCAAAC